rnacentral:rRNA from 1 species
GAAGAAGGAGGGAGGCGUGCUUAACACAUGCAAGUCGAACGCUGAAGCUCAGCUUUUGUUGGGUGGAUGAGUGGCGAACGGGUGAGUAACACGUGAGUAACCUGCCCCCUUCUUUGGGAUAACGCCCGGAAACGGGUGCUAAUACUGGAUAUUCACUGGUCUUCGCAUGGGGGUUGGUGGAAAGGGUUUUUCUGGUGGGGGAUGGGCUCGCGGCCUAUCAGCUUGUUGGUGGGGUGAUGGCCUACCAAGGCUUUGACGGGUAGCCGGCCUGAGAGGGUGACCGGUCACAUUGGGACUGAGAUACGGCCCAGACUCCUACGGGAGGCAGCAGUGGGGAAUAUUGCACAAUGGGCGCAAGCCUGAUGCAGCGACGCCGCGUGAGGGAUGGAGGCCUUCGGGUUGUGAACCUCUUUCGCUCAUGGUCAAGCCGCAACAAUGGUUGUGGUGAGGGUAGUGGGUAAAGAAGCGCCGGCUAACUACGUG